rfam:Erinaceus europaeus unplaced genomic scaffold scaffold00478, whole genome shotgun sequence
GAGGAUUUAGCAUAAUAAAAGUAAUUGAUUUGCAUUCAAUUGAUAUAGGAUAUAAUCUUGUAAUCCUAA